AAAACUGAGAAUGGCAAAGUAUGUAAUGAAACUCUGAAUUCGCCUCCCUCUUGGUUUUUUCUUUUUCUCGGAUUUUGUUUCGCUUUUUGUUUUUUUUUUUUUUUCUCUC
rnacentral:ribozyme from 1 species